GACGUAGGGCGCGAGCGUUGUCCGGAUUUAUUGGGCGUAAAGAGCUCGUAGGCGGCUUGUCGCGUCGACUGUGAAAACCCGCGGCUCAACUGUGGGCUUGCAGUCGAUACGGGCAGGCUGGAGUUCGGUAGGGGAGACUGGAAUUCCUGGUGUAGCGGUGAAAUGCGUAGAUAUCGGAAGGAACAUCAGUGGCGAAAGCGGCUUCCUGGACCAGCACCGACGUUCAGGCACGAAAGCGUGGGGAGCAAACAGG
rnacentral:rRNA from 1 species